rnacentral:tRNA from 1 species
GACUCCGUGGUGCAACGGUAGCGCGUCCGACUCCGAAUCAUAAGGCCGCGUGUUCAAAUCACGUCGGGGUCA